GAACAUGAGAGUUUGAUCCUGGCUCAGGACGAACGCUGGCGGCGUGCCUAACACAUGCAAGUCGAGCGGAGGGGAUAGGAGCUUGCUCCUUGAACCUUAGCGGCGGACGGGUGAGUAACACGUGGGUAACCUGCCCUUGAGAGGGGGAUAACAGGGUCGAAAGGCCUGCUAAUACCGCAUAACGCUAAGAUGCCGCAUGGCGUCUUAGCCAAAGGUUAAUUCCGCUCAAGGAUGGGCCCGCGGCCCAUUAGCUAGUUGGUGAGGUAAUGGCUCACCAAGGCGACGAUGGGUAGCCGGCCUGAGAGGGUGGUCGGCCACACUGGGACUGAGACACGGCCCAGACUCCUACGGGAGGCAGCAGUGGGGAAUA
rnacentral:ncRNA from 1 species